CCAAGACGAAACUUGUUCGAUGUUGUAUUUUCGGAACUCCCCAGGUACUUUCGCUCUCCUUCACCUUGGGAAGAGCCAUGAUCUUGCUACCGAUCCUCAACUAGAUCACAGUCAAGGCAAAGAUGAAAGUCAUCUAAGGGAAGAGAGAUAUUUUGAGCUUAUUGGAUAGUUCGGUACUUCUGCAGUAUCUAAGCGUUUUAGUUGAGAUGGUUCUCUGUCAUAAUUUUGCUGGCUUGUUUCCUGCUUCGGUGUUCUUUCUUUGACGUCUAUUGACUGGAUUGGUGGUAAUUGCCGCCAAAACUCCAAACGUCACCAGAAAGGUCCUGACACGAACAAAAUAGAAGCGUUUCAAGAUCUAGCUUCUUAAGCAUACCAACAUGACAUCAGAUCCACUCAUUAGAGAGAUUUGUUUAUUUAUGUUAUAUUAGGU